AACGUAGGAGACGAACGUUAUCCGGAGUUACUGGGCGUAAAGGGCGUGUAGGCGGUAUGUUAAGUCUGGCGUGAAAGCUCUCGGCUAAACCGGGAGAGGUCGUUGGAUACUGGCACACUAGAGGAUGGUAGAGGCGUGUGGAAUUCCCGGUGUAGCGGUGAAAUGCGCAGAUAUCGGGAGGAACACCUAUGGCGAAGGCAGCUCGCUGGGACGGUACUGACGCUGAGACGCGAAAGCGUGGGGAGCAAACAGG
rnacentral:rRNA from 1 species